ensembl:lncRNA
CAUUCACAAGGGUUGUCCAUUUUAUGCUUUAGACAAUCACUUUAUAUGGAAAUAUAUCCCAUUAAAGAGAUGGCCACGUUUUAGGAGUGUAGGGGGCAUAAAUCAAGACUGUUAGAGGGUCACAUAAAUGGCAAUGGUUAUAAAUGGACUCAUGUCAGAAUUGAAUAGAAUCCCUGUUAACAAAGGGAAUAACAUUGGAAGGAUCAUGUGAGGUAAACAUCCACAUGAAAAGUUUGAGGUUAGAUGACAGUAUCAGGUAGUCCCUGGUAAUUAUUACACCUCGUAGAGCUUGGCAGGGCUCCCAAAAGAUAGGAUGUCCCACAAAAAGUAGGCAUUUGAGGAACCUUUGCAGAGUGAGGUGGAUGUAAUAUGCUUGGGGAAACCUUUCGCAUUUGUAAUCAAUAUGGGGAAACGUGAAGUUUCAUACCUAACAUGAUGCCAUAGGUUAGCUUACCAUGAAAGUUCCACAUGGUUACAUUAUACAGUUGAAUACAAGAGCCAAUGGAUGAGAAAUUGAUGGUAAAGCAGAAAGUUUGCUCUGUGGGAUGCUUGCCUUUUAAUCACCAUGUAGUAGUGACUAAAUUUACAAAGGGUAAACAGAAACUCACAUUGCAUGAAAAAAGAACAAGGUAGGGCUGGGAAUUAACUGAUGCCAACAAAACAGUGGGCCACUGCUCCACCCAGUUAUCAGUUUCAGAGAGCAAAGACAAUUUUACAGGGCCAGGUACUUUGAUGUCAAUUGGCACUGGGUGGGCUGUGGCCAUUAUAAUUGGGGGUGAUCCACAACUUUUUGAUCCAGUUGGUCAUGUUGUAUUAUGUCAUCAAAAAAGGCCAACUCUUUGUAGUACGGACAUCACCCAUGUCUUCUAGAAUAUCUCUUGCCCAGAUGUUGCAGGGCACAUCAGCCCUAACAGUUGUAAAAGACCCCUAUUUGCAAUCCAAGUCCUGCCAAGAGACAGGUUCGUAGUCAGCCUUUUGACUUGUUGGGCUCCCACUCCUUUAAUAGAGGGAACAGGCUGCAAUCUCCAAUGGCGGAACCUCAAUGAAUCAUUUUAUGUUAUUAUUGUGAAAUCUGCCCCUGUGUCAACCAAUCCUUUAACAAUCUAAAUGUACAGUCAUCAUUUUGAAAUGAGCAAACACAGGCAAGGUCCAAAAGACUCCUGGUCAAGAAGGGCUCCCUCUUACUGGCAGGGAAAAAGAGUGUCCCAUUUGAAAUUUAAAUUGUCUUCCUGCUUUUGAGAACAGCAAUCCUUAGCCCAUUGGAAAUCUUUGUUACACCUGAGACAGCUGGUCUUGAACCUAGUUGAGGAACAAUACUGUCUGAGUUGACAAGGCUUGCCACAGCCUCAACAGGCACAAUCAUGUGGCCCUUCAGGAGGAAGGUUUCUCUUCUGUACACACCCCAUGACCAAAGCAACAAUGGAGGCAGUCAGUACUGCAAUGGGUCCUGCACCAGGGUCCAAAUCAUG